UACGUAGGGGGCGAGCGUUGUCCGGAAUCAUUGGGCGUAAAGCGCAUGUAGGCGGCCAUAUAAGUCGGUUGUGAAAUCCCGGAGCUCAACUCCGGAACUGCAGCCGAUACUGCAUGGCUUGAGGAAGGUAGAGGAGAGUGGAAUUCCCGGUGUAGCGGUGGAAUGCGCAGAUAUCGGGAGGAACACCAGCGGCGAAGGCGGCUCUCUGGGCCUCUCCUGACGCUGAGAUGCGAAAGCGUGGGUAGCGAACAGG
rnacentral:misc_RNA from 1 species